UACGAAGGGGGCUAGCGUUGUUCGGAAUUACUGGGCGUAAAGCGCGUGUAGGCGGCUUGGUAGGUCCGCUGUGAAAACUCGAGGCUCAACCUCGAGAUGUCGGCGGAAACCGCUUGGCUAGAGUCCGGAAGAGGAGAGUGGAAUUCCCGGUGUAGCGGUGAAAUGCGCAGAUAUCGGGAAGAACACCUAUGGCGAAGGCAGCUCUCUGGGACGGUACUGACGCUGAGACGCGAAAGCGUGGGGAGCGAACAGG
rnacentral:rRNA from 1 species